UACGUAGGGGGCAAGCGUUGUCCGGAAUCAUUGGGCGUAAAGCGCGCGUAGGCGGCCAGAAAAGUCCGCUGUGAAAACUCGAGGCUCAACUUCGAGCUGGCGGUGGAAACUUUCUGGCUAGAGUCCGGAAGAGGAGAAUGGAAUUCCUGGUGUAGCGGUGAAAUGCGCAGAUAUCAGGAAGAACACCCGUGGCGAAGGCGGUUCUCUGGGACGGUACUGACGCUGAGACGCGAAAGCGUGGGGAGCGAACAGG
rnacentral:rRNA from 1 species